GACGAACGCUGGCGGCGUGCCUAAUACAUGCAAGUAGGACGCAGUUGCGAACGGGUGAGUAACGCGUCGGUAACUGCCUAUUAGAGGGGGAUAACUAUUGGCAACGAUAGCUAAUACCGCAUACUAGUAGAUGGACCUUCGUUGUAUUAGCUAGUAGGUAGGGUACUGGCCUACCUAGGCGACGAUACAUAACCGACCUGGGAGGGUGAUCGGCCACACUGGGACUGAGACACGGCCCAGACUCCUACGGGAGGCAGCAGUAGGGGAUCUUCGGCAAUGGGGGGAAACCUGACCGAGCAACGCCGCGUGAGUGAAGAAGGGUUUCGGAUCGUAAAGCUCUUUUGUUAAGGAAGCGGUACUUAACCAGAAAGGGACGGCUAACUACGUGCCAGCAGCCGCGGUAAUUC
rnacentral:rRNA from 1 species